UGAGGAGGAGGAAGAGGAGAAGAAGGAGGAGAAAGAAGAAGGAGAACGGUCAUCUCUAAUGAGAUUCGGGCAACCAUGGUUGACCAUGUGCUCAACCAUGGUUUGAGCAUGAGGGAGGCUGGCCAGAGGGUCCAACCAAAUCUCAGCCGCUUCACAGUUGCUGCCAUCAUUAGAACCUUUAUAAUGGAGAACAGGACUGAAAGAGAACCACACCGUGGAGGAAGAACAUGCACUUUCACAGCCAAACAGGAGACUGACAUUGUGAAAAUGGUUCGGGAAAAAAACACACUAUCACACUCCAACAGAUACAAACCAGGAUCCUGGCUGACCAUGCCACAUUCAGAAACAUCCAGACUGUCAGCCUCUCUUCACUGGACCGUGUUCUCCGCAGGAAUGCAAUGCGGAUGAAACAAGUGUACAGGUUCCUAUUCGACCGGAACACAGACCACAUCAAGGAGUUACUGCAAGAGUUUGUGUUUGUAAAUCCCAUACAUUCAGCACUGACACAUGCAUGUAUUGUACCUGUAAUCCAAUAUUGUUCUUUUUCUACAGUGUCUCACUGUACCUCACCGUGUUGAACUAUCUGUGUCCAUACUGUAACUUGCAUUAUCAUGCUGUCUGUUCCAGCGGAUCCAGGAGCAUAAUAUAGCUAAUGAGUUAAAUGAAUACAUAUUCAUUGAUGAGGUUGGAUUCAAACUGGUGAAGAGGAGGCGCCGGGGCAGAAAUGUCAUUGUCCAGCGCGCCAUUGUUGAGGUCCCCGCCGAGCGUGGUGGGAACAUCACUUUGUGUGCUGCAAUGGGUUGAGCAGGCCCGUUGACAGUACUGUACUGUUC